rnacentral:rRNA from 1 species
UAGGGAAUCUUCGGCAAUGGGGGCAACCCUGACCGAGCAACGCCGCGCGAGUGAAGAAGGUUUUCGGAUCGUAAAGCUCUGUUGUAAGUCAAGAACGGGUGUGAGAGUGGAAAGUUCACACUGUGACGGUAGCUUACCAGAAAGGGACGGCUAACUACGUGCCAGCAGCCGCGGUAAUACGUAGGUCCCGAGCGUUGUCCGGAUUUAUUGGGCGUAAAGCGAGCGCAGGCGGUUUGAUAAGUCUGAAGUUAAAGGCUGUGGCUCAACCAUAGUUCGCUUUGGAAACUGUCAAACUUGAGUGCAGAAGGGGAGAGUGGAAUUCCAUGUGUAGCGGUGAAAUGCGUAGAUAUAUGGAGGAACACCGGUGGCGAAAGCGGCUCUCUGGUCUGUAACUGACGCUGAGGCUCGAAAGCGUGGGGAGCGAACAGGAUUAGAUACCCUGGUAGUCCACGCCGUAAACGAUGAGUGCUAGGUGUUGGAUCCUUUCCGGGAUUCAGUGCCGAAGCUAACGCAUUAAGCACUCCGCCUGGGGGAGUACGACCGCAAGGUUGAAAC